CCUACGGGCGGCAGCAGUGAGGAAUAUUGGUCAAUGGGCGAGAGCCUGAACCAGCCAAGUCGCGUGAGGGAAGACGGUCCUAUGGAUUGUAAACCUCUUUUGCCGGGGAGCAAAAAGGGGUACGUGUACCGCAUCUAGAAUACCCGGAGAAAAAGCAUCGGCUAACUCCGUGCCAGCAGCCGCGGUAAUACGGGGGAUGCGAGCGUUAUCCGGAUUUAUUGGGUUAAAAGGGUGCGCAGGCGGCGAGUUAAGUCAGCGGUAAAAUUUCGGGGCGCAACCCCGCAAAGCAGUUGAAACUGGAGUGCUAGAGUGGGCGAGAAGUAUGCGGAAUGCGUGGUGUAGCGGUGAAAUGCAUAGAUAUCACGCAGAACUCCGAUUGCGAAGGCAGCAUACCGGCGCCCAACUGACGCUCAGGCACGAAAGCGUGGGUAUCGAACAGGAUUAGAUACCCUUGUAGUC
rnacentral:rRNA from 1 species